rnacentral:rRNA from 1 species
UACGUAGGGGGCAAGCGUUGUCCGGAAUCAUUGGGCGUAAAGAGCGUGUAGGCGGCCCGAUAAGUCCGCUCUGAAAGUCCGGGGCUCAACCCCGGGAGGCGGGCGGAUACUGUCGGGCUAGAGUCCGGAAGAGGCAAGUGGAAUUCCGUGGUGUAGCGGUGAAAUGCGCAGAUAUCAGGAGGAACACCGAUGGCGAAGGCAGCUUGCUGGGACGGUACUGACGCUGAGACGCGAAAGCGUGGGGAGCAAACAGG